rnacentral:rRNA from 1 species
CCUACGGGAGGCAGCAGUAGGGAAUUUUCGUCAAUGGGCGCAAGCCUGAACGAGCGAUGCCGCGUGAGUGAAGAAGGCCUUCGGGUCGUAAAGCUCUGUUUCGGGGGAAAAAAGGCAGCAUCAGGAAAUGGGUGCUGACUGAUGGUGCCCCGCCAGAAAGUCACGGCUAACUACGUGCCAGAAGCCGCGGUAAUACGUAGGUGGCGAGCGUUAUCCGGAAUGAUUGGGCGGAAAGGGUGAGCAGGCGGUCCUGCAAGUCUGGAGUGAAACGGAUGAGCUCAACUCAUGCAUGGCUUUGGAAACUGGAGGACUGGAGAGCAGGAGAGGGCGGUGGAACUCGAUGUGUAGCGGUAAAAUGCGUAGAUAUAUGGAAGAACACCAGUGGCGAAGGCGGCCGCCUGGCCUGUUGCUGACGCUGAGGCACGAAAGCGUGGGGAGCAAAUAGGAUUAGAUACCCCAGUAGUC